CCGGGUAGUGCGGGAUCCCGGUCAGACGGCUGUCGUCCAAGUCCCGC
rfam:Alpha proteobacterium BAL199 1103548001534, whole genome shotgun sequence.